UUUCCGUUGGUGAACCUGCGGAAGGAUCAUUCAUAAUAAAGUGUUUUAUGGCACUUUUUAAAAAUCCAUAUCCACCUUGUGUGCAAUGUUAGAUCUCGUCAAUCUUGGCGAGAUUUUUAUACAUCAACUCAUUCUUUAACUAAUUUGUCUGAAAAAUAUUAUGAAUACUUAAUUCAAAAUACAACUUUCAACAACGGAUCUCUUGGCUCUC
rnacentral:misc_RNA from 1 species